GAUGAACGCUGGCGGCGUGCCUAAUACAUGCAAGUCGAGCGAACAGAUGAGGAGCUUGCUCCUCUGACGUUAGCGGCGGACGGGUGAGUAACACGUGGAUAACCUACCUAUAAGACUGGGAUAACUUCGGGAAACCGGAGCUAAUACCGGAUAAUAUAUUGAAUCGCAUGGUUCAAUAGUGAAAGACGGUUUUGCUGUCACUUAUAGAUGGAUCCGCGCCGCAUUAGCUAGUUGGUAAGGUAACGGCUUACCAAGGCAACGAUGCGUAGCCGACCUGAGAGGGGGAUCGGCCACACUGGAACUGGGACACGGUCCAGACUCCUACGGGAGGCAGCAGUAGGAAAUCUUCCGCAAUGGGCGAAAGCCUGACGGAGCAACGCCGCGUGAGUGAUGAAGGUCUUCGGAUCGUAAAACUCUGUUAUUAGGGAAGAACAAUUGUGUAAGUAACUAUGCACGUCUUGACGGUACCUAAUCAGAAAGCCACGGCUAACUACGUG
rnacentral:rRNA from 1 species